rnacentral:rRNA from 1 species
GACGAACGCUGGCGGCGUGCUUAACACAUGCAAGUCGAACGGAAAGGCCCUUUUGGGGGUACUCGAGUGGCGUACGGGCGAGUAACACGGGAGUAACUUGCCAUUGACCUCGGGAGAACUUCAGGAAAAUGGGGAUAAUACCGGAAAGGAAUACAUGCUGCAUGGCGGGGGGGGGGAAGUUUUGGAGGUUGUGGUGUGAAUAACGGGGUAUCAGCUUGCUGGGGGGGUGGUGGCUGACCAAGGAAAUGACGGGUAGGGGGCCGGUGAGAGUGACCGGCCACACUGGCACCGAGAGAAGGCCCAGACAGCUACGGGAGCGAGAAGGGGGGAAUAUUGCCCAAGGGGCGGCAGCCGGGUGCAGAAACGCCGCGGGCGGGAUGGCGGCCUUGGGGUUGUAAACCGCUUUCAGCAGGGGCGAAGCUUGUGGUGACGGUACCUGCAGAAGAAGCACCGGCUAACUACGUG